rnacentral:misc_RNA from 1 species
CAGCAAGCUUAUGAUUUUAUUAUAUUUUGUUCAUAUAAUAUCUAUUUUGUCUCUCUAAAAGCAUAUUACAUAUUAAAUGGAUGCCUAUUUGAUGAAUUGAUUUUUAGUAACCUAACAAUUCUUUUAUGUUUUAAUACAUAAUAGAUGGAUGCUCGCAAGUUUGAAGAUGAUGUUUUUCUAAAGUUGAAACAAAAACAUCAUUCAUCAAUUGCACACAUUAUUUGUAUAAUUAUGUAUUGGUAUGGGUUAAGAAG